AGCAGCGUGGCUCAGUGGAAAGAGCACAGGCUUGGGAGUCGGGGGUUAUGGGUUCGAAUCCUGACUCUGCCA
rnacentral:tRNA from 1 species